GGUCUUCAGCUGCUAAGCUGAGAAGAUCUGGGAAGGAGUCAGAGAGCCUUGGGCCAGAGUUCCAGGGGCUCUGGGAGUGGCUGCCAGAUCGCUUCUUGACCUGCACAACUUUCUGAUUUGAUGAGUUCAACAGAAACCAACUCAAGGGAGAAGAAUAAAGACAUUGUUGAACUUAGACUUUGACAAGAUGCAUAUUGGAUAUCUAAAUAGAGAUAUCAAGAAAUGAAGAUAUGCAUUUCCAGUUCCAGAGAGAAAUUCACACUGGAAAUAUAAAUUUAGGAAUUUUAAAGUUAGUGGUCACAUUUAAAGCUGCAGAAUACAAAGAGAUCACCUGUGUGAGAGAACUGAGUCCUGAAACAUACCCGUGUUUAAAGAUCUGGGAGGUGCAGAGGAAUUAUCAAAGGAGGCUGAGAAGGAGCAGCCAGUGAGGUGUGUAGAAAAACAAGAUAAGCAAAAAGAAAAGCAAGAGAUAUGGAACUGAACUUCCCUUUGGCAAAAAAUUUAGAAAAUGAUAAUGAGACUCCGCUUUCUGUCUCUCUGAAGAUAACGUUAAGCUGCAGCUCCGUAUCUGUGAAAACCCAUUUCACAGCAUCUGCAUCCCUGGAUUGCUAAAUACCCUUGUCUAGUUACCCAAAUAUUAAUGGAUCCCAUGGAAUAAGGUGGCAUGAUUUAGGCACAAGCAAUUACCAAAGGAUUUUGAAAAGCAGUAACUCCAAAUUAUCUUGUAAAGUUGAGAAUAAUCUGAGAAGAGCUAUUGUAAGACUGGGAAUCAAGUAACAAAAUAAAGAUAUGAACCGUC
rnacentral:lncRNA from 1 species